GAAUUUUACGAUCGACGGCCAUCUUGUUUCCCCUCACAUCCAGACUGCGGCUGACAGCAGUUCCACAAUAUCGGGUCAUGCGUGAGGACGUUCAGCAUUCUUGUUAAACCGCAUGGAUGAACUCGGCGUGGUAAAACGUGAAUAAAGAAAAUUGGACGGGGUACUGCUGAACAACAAUUAGGACAGGUUUUGAAUAAUCCAGCCACAUGAAAAACUCUAUUUUCUGUUUCUCUUUCUUACAGAUUAAUGCAGAAUUUUUUCGCAUCACGACCUUACCUCUACAAUCAAGAUUUAUGGCCUCUUUGGACAGACAGACAGCUCUCAGCUUCUCCAGGUUAUUAGGAGCAAAGGUGGAGCCCUCCGUGAGAAAACUAAGGACACUAUUAAAGUUAUGGAUCAGAGUUUGGACAUAGACAUCAGAAGAGAGUGCCUGCUGAAGUGCCUGAUCACAUAACUUGGUGAAGAUGCAAGCUGUCUGAUCAAAGAAUACCAGGCUGACCAGAGGGAGGAAGCAGAGAGAGAAUUUGAAAAGACCACCAUGGCGUUUUUUGUGAUCCGUGAAACUGAUGCUCUUAGUCGUGCACUGGACAUUUCCAUUGUCAUUGACGGUGUGGAAGUACUCAAUUAAUUGCCCUCUGUUGCAUGUGCCUGUGCAUGUGUAUUUGUAUCAGGAUGUUAUUAUGACAAAAUAAACUGUCAAAUGUUUGA